GAUGAACGCUGGCGGCGUGCCUAAUACAUGCAAGUCGAGCGAACGGACGAGAAGCUUGCUUCUCUGAUGUUAGCGGCGGACGGGUGAGUAACACGUGGAUAACCUACCUAUAAGACUGGGAUAACUUCGGGAAACCGGAUCUAAUACCGGAUAAUAUUUUGAACCGCAUGGUUCAAAAGUGAAAGACGGUCUUGCCGUCACUUAUAGAUGGAUCCGCGCUGCAUUAGCUAGUUGGUAAGGUAACGGCUUACCAAGGCAACGAUGCAUAGCCGACCUGAGAGGGUGAUCGGCCACACUGGAACUGAGACACGGUCCAGACUCCUACGGGAGGCAGCAGUAGGGAAUCUUCCGCAAUGGGCGAAAGCCUGACGGAGCAACGCCGCGUGAGUGAUGAAGGUCUUCGGAUCGUAAAACUCUGUUAUUAGGGAAGAACAUAUGUGUAAGUAACUGUGCACAUCUUGACGGUACCUAAUCAGAAAGCCACGGCUAACUACGUG
rnacentral:rRNA from 1 species